GACGAACGCUGGCGGCGUGCCUAAUACAUGCAAGUCGAACGCAGUGGGGACAGGUGAGUAACACGUUGGUGACCUCCCAUCAGAGGGGAUAACACUUGGAAACAGGUGCUAAACCUAUACUUUUGGAUGGACCCGCGGUGCAUUAACUAGUUGGUGAGGUAACGGCUCACCAAGGCCACGAUGCAUUGCCGACCUGAGAGGGUGAUCGGCCACACUGGGACUGAGACACGGCCCAGACUCCUACGGGAGGCAGCAGUAGGGAAUCUUCGGCAAUGGACGAAAGUCUGACCGAGCAACGCCGCGUGAGUGAAGAAGGUUUUCGGAUUGUAAAACUCUGUUGUUAGAGAAGCGGUAUCUAACCAGAAAGCCAAGGCUAAAUCAGUGCCAGCAGCCGCGGUAAUAA
rnacentral:rRNA from 1 species